rnacentral:rRNA from 1 species
UACGAAGGGGGCGAGCGUUGUUCGGAUUUACUGGGCGUAAAGAGCGCGCAGGCGGUCGGAUAAGUCGAAAUGUGAAAGCCCCCGGCUCAACUGGGGAGGGUCAUUCGAUACUGUUCGACUCGAAGGCAGGAGAGGGAAGUGGAAUUCCCGGUGUAGCGGUGAAAUGCUUAGAUAGUCGUCAAGAACACCUAUAGCGAAGGCAGCUUACUAGGCUGUAACUGACGCUGAGGCACGAAAGUGUGGGGAGCAAACAGG